CCUACGGGUGGCAGCAGUGAGGAAUAUUGGUCAAUGGGCGCUAGCCUGAACCAGCCAAGUAGCGUGAAGGAUGACUGCCCUAUGGGUUGUAAACUUCUUUUAUAUGGGAAUAAAGUGCAGUAUGUAUACUGCUUUGCAUGUACCUUAUGAAUAAGGAUCGGCUAACUCCGUGCCAGCAGCCGCGGUAAUACGGAGGAUGCGAGCGUUAUCCGGAUUUAUUGGGUUUAAAGGGUGCGUAGGUUGUUUUUUAAGUCAGCGGUGAAAGUUUGUGGCUCAACCAUAAAAUUGCCGUUGAAACUGGAAGACUUGAGUGUGUUUGAGGUAGGCGGAAUGCGUGGUGUAGCGGUGAAAUGCAUAGAUAUCACGCAGAACUCCGAUUGCGAAGGCAGCUUACUAAGCCAUAACUGACACUGAAGCACGAAAGCGUGGGGAUCAAACAGGAUUAGAUACCCGGGUAGUC
rnacentral:rRNA from 1 species